CUCAAACUCACAAGGCGCUUUCAGAUUUGCUCGAUCUACGUUACACUUCAGCAGAAUCCUAGGCUAUGAAUAUGAAGUUUCUUCUGCCCGUCCUUGGUAUCCGGCUUCGGCCGGCGGUCCUUUGUGCCGCUGGCAUUUCAGCCGUAGCUGUCACUUCUUUUCUUGUUUACAGGUGGCGUGUUCGGGAUCGGCAGCAGGCGGUAGAAGAAGCUGCGACCCACACUGAGCCCAGCGACCAACUGGAGGAUCGGGAGCCUUUUCCGUUGGAUCAGGACACGUUUGAAACGACCUGUACUCUGAUCCUAAAGCCUCUCCAAGCUCUGCACAACGCAAACAGGAUGUUUGCCUACACCUUCUCGCAGAUGUUUUAUGCAGAUACAAAGAUGGUAGAGGUGAAGCUCCAGCACAAAUCCAUCUACAGUGGGCUGGAGAGCGAGCACUGGUGGGUGCUCAGCAAUGCGUUUUACCACGUGUGUGCAGAGCUUACCCUCCAGAACUUUGCCAACGUUAAUGCUGUGGCCUGCAUCAAGCGCAGAGGAACCGGCAUCACUGGGGCGACCUUCUACCUGUGCGCCGAGUCAACAGAGUCAUCGGUGCAGAAUAUUUUUCUGAUGGCCUUUUCAGGUCAUCUGAGUACAGUCACACCCAGACCGUCGAGACGCCGCACCCCGCUGUGUUUUCUAACGGACCAUGAUCACCAAGAGGACCCCCUCCACCUCCUCCUCCAGGCUUUUAAUAACCCACAGAACACUUUGAUUGACAUUAUACACAUUUAGGAUUUAUUAUAUGCUAUGUAUCAUACAAUUUCUUUUACCCUCAAUGCUCUUGUAUGCAUGUGGGUGUUUUUCAGAUGCAGUCUGUUUUCACAUAGCCAUGUGAGGCCUAGGUCUUGACCUGUUGGCGCAAGAAGCUUGAGCAUCACAUGGACUGAUCACCAAACUGGAGCAGUUUAGGUCUCCAGUGCAGGCUUUUUCCUGGAUUACAGACAACUGGACAACCUGAAGCUCACCAAGAAACCCACCAGGACAAGAGGCCAACAUCAGUUUUUGGACCAGGCCAGAACAACAAGGCUUUACAAGAUGUUCUUCGGGAUAAUUUGAGACUUUGUGGUCUACACCAGACUACAAAGACAAGGCCAAUCAGCGGACCGAUCGCCGUAGAGAAUUGAUCCUUCAGGAUUAUUAGUGCCAUCACCAUCGUCGAAGAGUUGGACAAAAUCACCAUCCAUGGAGUGGUCAUCACCAGAUCAUCACCACUG